rnacentral:rRNA from 1 species
CAGUCGUACGCUUCUUUUUCACCGGAGCUUGCUCCACCGGAAAAAGAAGAGUGGCGAACGGGUGAGUAACACGUGGGUAACCUGCCCAUCAGAAGGGGAUAACACUUGGAAACAGGUGCUAAUACCGUAUAACAAUCGAAACCGCAUGGUUUUGAUUUGAAAGGCGCUUUCGGGUGUCGCUGAUGGAUGGACCCGCGGUGCAUUAGCUAGUUGGUGAGGUAACGGCUCACCAAGGCCACGAUGCAUAGCCGACCUGAGAGGGUGAUCGGCCACAUUGGGACUGAGACACGGCCCAAACUCCUACGGGAGGCAGCAGUAGGGAAUCUUCGGCAAUGGACGAAAGUCUGACCGAGCAACGCCGCGUGAGUGAAGAAGGUUUUCGGAUCGUAAAACUCUGUUGUUAGAGAAGAACAAGGAUGAGAGUAACUGUUCAUCCCUUGACGGUAUCUAACCAGAAAGCCACGGCUAACUACGUGCCAGCAGCCGCGGUAAUACGUAGGUGGCAAGCGUUGUCCGGAUUUAUUGGGCGUAAAGCGAGCGCAGGCGGUUUCUUAAGUCUGAUGUGAAAGCCCCCGGCUCAACCGGGGAGGGUCAUUGGAAACUGGGAGACUUGAGUGCAGAAGAGGAGAGUGGAAUUCCAUGUGUAGCGGUGAAAUGCGUAGAUAUAUGGAGGAACACCAGUGGCGAAGGCGGCUCUCUGGUCUGUAACUGACGCUGAGGCUCGAAAGCGUGGGGAGCAAACAGGAUUAGAUACCCUGGUAGUCCACGCCGUAAACGAUGAGUGCUAAGUGUUGGAGGGUUUCCGCCCUUCAGUGCUGCAGCUAACGCAUUAAGCACUCCGCCUGGGGAGUACGACCGCAAGGUUGAAACUCAAAGGAAUUGACGGGGGCCCGCACAAGCGGUGGAGCAUGUGGUUUAAUUCGAAGCAACGCGAAGAACCUUACCAGGUCUUGACAUCCUUUGACCACUCUAGAGAUAGAGCUUCCCCUUCGGGGGCAAAGUGACAGGUGGUGCAUGGUUGUCGUCAGCUCGUGUCGUGAGAUGUUGGGUUAAGUCCCGCAACGAGCGCAACCCUUAUUGUUAGUUGCCAUCAUUCAGUUGGGCACUCUAGCAAGACUGCCGGUGACAAACCGGAGGAAGGUGGGGAUGACGUCAAAUCAUCAUGCCCCUUAUGACCUGGGCUACACACGUGCUACAAUGGGAAGUACAACGAGUCGCGAAGUCGCGAGGCUAAGCUAAUCUCUUAAAGCUUCUCUCAGUUCGGAUUGUAGGCUGCAACUCGCCUACAUGAAGCCGGAAUCGCUAGUAAUCGCGGAUCAGCACGCCGCGGUGAAUACGUUCCCGGGCCUUGUACACACCGCCCGUCACACCACGAGAGUUUGUAACACCCGAAGUCGGUGAGGUAACCUUUG